CCCAAGAGGCUCAGUGGUUUAGACCACAGCACCACUUGCAUCUCAUGGGGUGGGCUAGGGAUAACCUGUCAGGCAGGCAUAGUCUCUCCUGCUCUACUAAUGAUCCUGCAUUCUUCUCCAAGAGGGAGGGAAACUGCCAACUUUCUGCAGGCAUCUGCUAUGCACCCAGCCGUCCAUACAGAGCUCAGACCCAGAGUUUCCUCAUCUGGCUUCCUCUCCCAGAGAUGAUCAGGGGGGAAGGAAUUUGCUUUCCCAUGUUAAUUUUUAUAUGCAAGUGGUGUUUUACUACUACUACUACUACUACUACUGUUAAAAACUUGUGCAAAAGCACAAAGGAAUUCGGGUUUGUGGAAGGGGGAGUUGAUUCAUUCGCUGAAGAAGAGCACUUUUACCACCUUUAAAAAAAACUUUUCAGAUUUUAAGUGCAUAUUUAUUUUGCAAAGUGAGGAUGUUAGCAGUGGGAUGUGGGUGAUGUUGAAGAGAAAACACUAAUUUGAUUGAAACUCAAGCAGCUUCAAAUACACAUUCAGCGCUGGAGUGGGCAAGCCCUGUAUUGCAGCUGUUCUCCAUUUUGCUUUUAUCAUCACGUUUAAAACCUGCUGUCUUGUACUGCAUACCUUCACUGUCACCAUUUCUCCACUAAUUGUAUCCUCAGAGUAAGUAGCAGUUUUCUUGGGGUGGGGAGCUGGGGGUGAUUUCCAGCUGGAAAAUUAUGUGAGGUGGGGGGAAGAGUUAAAAGGGCCCUCCAUCUAGUUUCUCCCUAUGCCUGCAUUUUGAAAGAGAGAGGGGAGGAAAGUAAUCAUGGAGAAUCCAUUCAUUUCAAUGGGUCUACUCUUAGAACUUAGUUGUCUACAACCCUUAGACUAAAAAUGAUGUACUCAUUACAUGCUGCAUACCUGUGUUUGUGAAUAUUUUUAUUCAGUCGAUGCAUUUGCAUCCAAUUUAAAACUGGGAUGGAUCUGAUAAAUAUUGGAUUUCCCUAUGAAUAUUAUUUUAGCUCUGUACUGUUGGCACUGCUUCCCCGCUCUCCACCACCAAUUUGUUUGUCCAGCUUUUGUGUGAGCAACUAUUGAUAACACCAUCAGUUUGUUCAGUGGUCCAAAAGAGCUUAAAACAAAAUGAAUCACAGGAGUUUAUUACUCAGCAAGAACCUAGUCACAUUGUUAUUACUGUACCAAAGCAAUCAAUGUCAGUAACAUUGUCAUCUGAAGUACACAGCAUGUUCGCAGUAACAAAAACAUGUAGCAUGUUCUCUUUAUAGAUAGUAAACAGAGAAAUUAACAGCCAGCAUCCUUGUUCAAUGAUGUAGAGGAAUUUUACACUCAAUUCCAUUCUAUGACAUCUGUGAUUUGCUUUGCUUAGUGCUGGCCACUGUUUGGAGUACAUGUGAUGUCCAAAAACCCUAAUUCAAAUAACAAUAGUGUCUUGGAUUUCAUCUACAGUAUUCUGAGUGUGAGUUUUUCAUCUCUUGUGAAAGUACCAUAAAAAAUUCCAUUAGGGAUGAGCCAAAACUCCUUACCUUUUCUGUUCCAUCUCAGGAGCAGCUCCAAUUUUUGGCAACCCCUAAUCUUUAUGUUUUUGGAACCAUAUGUUCAAGCUAGUGGAGUUUUGGUGGAGGGCAAAAUGAAAUCAUUUCUGCUCUGCCAAAACUCUAGAGUGGGCCACAGAGACUGUAUUGGUUUCUGCCGUUUGCUGCUGGCAUGGCCAAAGAGACUACAGAUUCCUCAGCCGCUCUUAAGUGUGCUCAAUGACACUCCAACAAACAAAGGGACUAUGUGCACUUCCUGCUGCAUUGUUGUUGUUUAGUCGUUUAGUCGUGUCUGACUCUUUGUGGCCCCAUGGACCAGAGCACGCCAGGCACUCCUGUCUUCCACUGUCUCCCGCAGUUUUGUCAAACUUAUGUUAGUAGCUUCGAGAACACUGUCCAACCAUCUCGUCCUCUGUCGUCCCUUUCUCCUUGUGUCCUCCAUCUUUCCCAACAUCAGGGUCUUUUCCAGGGAGUCUUCUCUUCUCAUGAGGUGGCCAAAGUAUUGGAGCCUCAGCUUCAGGAUCUGUCCUUCCAGUGAGCACUCAGGGCUGAUUUCCUUCAGAAUGGAGAGGUUUGAUCUUCUUGCAGUCCAUGGGACUCUCAAGAGUCUCCUCCAGCACCAUAAUUCAAAAGCAUCAAUUCUUCGGCGAUCAGCCUUCUUUAUGGUCCAGCUCUCACUUCCAUACAUCACUACUGGGAAAACCAUAGCUUUAACUAUACGGACCUUUGUUGGCAAGGUGAUGUCUCUGCACACACUUAUUUCAAAACUAAUAUUGGAAUAAGUGAAUAUUUCAUAUUUAAUUAUCACAUUUAUAUCACGCCUUCACUCCAAGGAGCUCCCCUGCCUUCCCCAUUUUAUCCUUGCAACAACCCUGUGAGGCAGGUUGGGCUGAGAGAUCAUGACUGGCCCAAGGUUGCCCAGUGAGCUUCGUGGCUGAGCAGCAAUUUGAACCUGGGUCUCUCCAGUCCUAGUCCAAUGCUCCUACCACUACAUCACACUGGUUGUGCUUGCUGUAACCUGAAUUUUAUUUUUCAGACAUUCUAGCAGAUGUCUCCACUCAAGGUGUCCAAAAAUUCUCUUUAACACCUAGGGAUGGGGGAGAAAUCCUAGGUGGAUCACCUUGAAACCUGUGUAAUUUGCACUUUCUGAAAUAGUAUGCAGACUGAAACAGAGCCAUCCUUCAAAAUUCACACUUCUCUGAAUUUUGCAAUGCAGUUCUCCAGCCAAGUAAUGUGUACACAAAUGCUUAAAAUGCAUAUAUUUACUUUUUUAAAAAAAGGCAUUGUGCAAGGGGAAAGUGCUAUGCAAAAAUGUCUAUAUUGGGCAAAAUCACAUUCAAAGAUGUGUACGUGUGAAGAAAUUUGCAGUAAAAUGCAACUGUGUUUUCAGGAGGACUUCUUUUUAAUUGAAAACUCAUGUGGAGGACUGAACUUGAGAGUGGAAAAAUAAGAAAAGGAGAGAAACCAAAAUUGACAGAUUUGCCCAUUCCUAUUAAUACUGGUGGGAAGAUAGGGACACUCUCACCACUCGGAGAUAGUUUGAUCACCUGGAUGACUCUGAAAGUGUGAUCCUUGAGUAUUUUAAUGUUAUGUGUGUGAGAGAGAGAUGUAUGCAUGUCCACUUAGGCUGCAGUCUUACGUGCAUUUACCUCAGGUUCCAUUGCACUAAGUGAUACUUACUUCUGAGUAAGCUUAUAUAGGUUUGCCCUGUAAGUUUCAGAACUUCUAUGAAGCUAAUGCUAUUAGAGAGACAUUUGAAUUAAUGCUCUGUAAUUUUGUUCCACUGAGAUAAUGUGGGCGUAAGUAGGAUAGAUAGGCUUGUAUUGUAUAUUUUCAGGAGAGGGGAUGAUUGCUUCUCAAGGAAAGGGAUGCCAAUAGAGGAACAUCAAGCAAACAAUAGCUGAAAUGCUUCUUCAUUAUUUGUUCUGGUGUUUUGAAGGCCCACUCAUUUAUCUCAUUCUCCAGUGUUUGUCCUAAAGUUAGGGGGGGCAUUGGGUUGUUGUUUUCUAUUUUGAUUAUAUUUUUUGUGAUUUUAUUUUAUUUUUUAUUCUAUGAACUGUCCUAAGACCUCUGAGUAUAGGGCAGUAUAUAAAUUCAAACAACAGCAACAGCAGCAGCAGCAACAACAACAGAAAGAUGGCUUGUAAAAGCCAUUCGAUCUGAGCUUGGAGCAACCAGAUCAGACAUCUUUACACACUGAACUUCUCAAAUAGACUGAGGUACAACAAUAGGUUUGAUUCCCUAUCUCCUAAGGUGAGGGUGAGUAACCUAGUCUGGCAGAAUGACUUUACGCUAUGGCAUUAACCCCCUCAUGCAUUAAUUAGAGUUAAGCAUGUUGGUUAUAUGAGGUUGGUUAUUCCACAUUCCUUCUCAGAAUCCAUCCCCUAUUCUCUCUUCUUCCCCUCCCUCUUUGUGGAACAAUGUCUUCCAGCUCCUCUUUCCUAGACUGUCUGCUACUUCUUCUGUCCUUCCCUGGGGCUGUGUGGGUCUGCUCUUGUCCUCUGCAGCACAGCUGGACAAACUUCAGACUUGUCAGGUCUCCUUUGCUUUUUCGCUAGAACUCCCAGUUUUACCAACCAGAGCCAGAUGCAGAAGGCAUGAAAGUGAGAAUGAGAAUGAGAGAGACAUAUUCUUACCCUAGGCAUUUCUCCUCAGUACUGGGAUUCAACUGAGCUCACAGUCCUUUCACAGAAAAGUCCACUAUUAGUUAACUUUCUUCCUUUCAACAGGGUAGGAAAACUCACUUUCCUGUUCUUGUUAAGCAAUUCAGAGUCUUGACAUUUGACUGCAAAUCGCUCAGAGAUCUACCAGUAGAUUCCUUCUGUUCUGUAAGAUUCUAGCAAUUCAGACAGCUGCUGGCAGUCAGUAGCCCUCCUGACAUGCCCCACUGCUCUGUGACAUUUGGGAUCCCCAGCCCCUCGCUAGGAGAGACUUCAUUACAUCCACAGUUACCAUAACCAUAAAUUGUGCAAUUCUGCUCAGGGUCAAAUGAUGGUUUCUCUCAGAAUUAAGGCAGGAGUAUUAAACCUACUAUACAUGUGGAAGUAUGAAGAAUUACUCUCAAAACCAUAAACAUCAGAUCCUUUCUGUCAUGUCUUUUACAAUUUGUUUAUAUAAUAGAAGCCCGAAGAAGCGUCUCCACCCCCAUCAUUCUGCCUGG